GAACGCGUAGCUCAGCUGGAUAGAGCGAGGGACUUCUAAUCCCUAGGCCGAUGGUUCGAUUCCAUCCGUGUUCACCA
rnacentral:tRNA from 1 species